rnacentral:tmRNA from 1 species
GGGGCUGAUUCUGGAUUCGACGGGAUUUGCGAAACCCAAGGUGCAUGCCGAGGGGCGGUUGGCCUCGUAAAAAGCCGCAAAAAAUAGUCGCAAACGACGAAAACUACGCUUUAGCAGCUUAAUAACCUACUUAGAGCCCUCUCUCCCUAGCCUCCGCUCUUAGGACGGGGAUCAAGAGAGGUCAAACCCAAAAGAGAUCGCGUGGAAGCCCUGCCUGGGGUUGAAGCGUUAAAACUUAAUCAGGCUAGUUUGUUAGUGGCGUGUCCGUCCGCAGCUGGCAAGCGAAUGUAAAGACUGACUAAGCAUGUAGUACCGAGGACGUAGGAAUUUCGGACGCGGGUUCAACUCCCGCCAGCUCCACCA